AAAAAGAUAAACUCUGAGUUUCCGUGUCCAACGUUUAACUGUCCGUUUUAUAUGAAUUUUUUUAUAAUUAGUAUUUUCAUUGUUGUUAGAUGAUAAAACAUGAUUAAUACUUUAUGCGUAACGGACGGUCAAACGUUGGACACGGAAACCCAGGGUUUGUCUUCUU
rfam:Oryza nivara chromosome 3, whole genome shotgun sequence.